rnacentral:snRNA from 1 species
AUUCUUACCUGGCAGGGGAGAUGCCACGAUCAUGAAUGUGGUUUUCCCAGGGCGAGGCUUAUCUGUUGCACUCCGUAGAUGUUCUUACCCCUGUGAUUUCCCCAAAUGCGGGAAACUUGACUGCAUAAUUUGUGGUAGGGAGGAAGUGCAUUCCUGCUUUCUCCUGG